rnacentral:lncRNA from 10 species
CUGAGGAGUCCUUGUGGAAUUCCCCUUUGGAGUUGAGAGUUUCACAAGUUGUACAAUCACAAGGAGGGCACCUGUCUCUAGAAAGAAAGAGCACUCUGUUGCGCACAAGUCACUCACCAAACUGAAGCCUUGGCUCUGAAGAAGAGAAGAGCUCAGAGAUGUCAUUGGGAGAGGAAGCCAAUCUGUUUGCUGCCCCCACAAAAAGAGGUCCACCUCUAGUAAAAGAGUUCCACCUUUAAGACAGCAACAAAACGAGUGUCUUGUCCUGACUGCCUAAGAUCAAAAGACUGACACCAAAAUGUCAAUGAAAACUUUAAGAACAGUGAUGUCAUGAUGCUUCUAGGGUAUUAGGUUGAUUCAAUCAAAAUGUAGCACCCUGGUGAAUCCGUGAAGAAAAAUUCACAUCUGGAUGAGCAGUUCCCACAGAUGCCAAUGAUUCAAUUCAGAAAGCAUUAACUGACCAGUGGCAUGGGCUGACAGUGAGGCUAAGAAUUCUGGGACUCAUAUUGCCAACCCUAAGGUGGACACAGUCUAGUUGGUGAGACAGAAGUAUAUACAAAUCAUGCUGAGGGCUUGUGCUAAAACAGAAAUCUAAUAAAAGUUAUACAGGGUUAAGCAAGAGAGUGAAAGAGAGAGAUUGAUUGUGACCAGGCAAUCAGGGCUGCCUUCCUGGAGGCAGUGGCAUUUAGGAAUGCCUAGAUUCAUUCUCAGAAUAAAGUAAUAAUAAUAACAGCAACAAGAGCACAUUUCUUGUUGGGCUCAGUAAAAACUGAAAAUGCAGCUCCUUUAAUCAAAAUACAGGAAAAACAGUGCCAUUAGAGGUACUAAAAUUAAAGCGUUUUCCUUUCUUCUGUGGUCUCUGUCUCUCAACUUGUCAUGUUUUUCAUUUGCUAUUUAAC